rnacentral:misc_RNA from 1 species
GAUGAAGAACGUAGCGAAAUGCGAUAAGUAAUGUGAAUUGCAGAAUUCAGUGAACCAUCGAAUCUUUGAACGCACAUUGCGCCCGGCAGUAAUCUGCCGGGCAUGCCUGUCCGAGCGUCAUUUCUGCCCUCGAGCGAGUCCAGCAUCUAGGUGCUGGGCCCGCCCGGCGUUGGGGCACUACGGGAAGCCCUGUGCUGUCCCCCGUAGGCCCCGAAAUGAAGUGGCGGUCCUGCCGCGGCGCCCCCUGCGUAGUAUAACAGCUCGCUUCGGGACCCGGUGGAGGCCUGCCGUCAAACCUUACUCUCUAAGGUUGACCUCGGAUCAGGUAGGGUUACCCGCUGAACUUAAGCAUAUCAAUAAGCGGAGGA